UGGUAAGAAAACCCAUCAGCCACACUGGAACUCUGCCGACUCUUCUCGGAAUCUGUUGUCUCUCAUGCUUCACCUUUUACACUAUUCUCUAGGAACUUGCUCAGCCCGCUGGAAGAGGAGCCUCGAAAUUCUGUCAUCCCGGAAGCCAAUUGCUCUAGUUUGGAUAAGGAGUGUUUCUUCCCGCUACCACAGCUCUUGCUAUGAAGCCAAGGAGUGGCGACCUCUUGUCACUGGGCAUGGUUCCCCCAUGCCCAGGAGCUUGGAGCAUGGUGAGAAGUUCUGAGAAAGCCAGGAGCCCACAGCCCAAGUCAAUCAGAGUGCUAUGUGGUACAGGACUCUCUCCAAUGGCACAUGCAAACCUGAGUUCAUCUGUAGGGGAAGAUGCUUUCAAGAUAACUCAGGGAAAGGAAGAGCCAUCACAUGGACAGUGUCAGGCAGCUCAAGUCAGGAAGGAGCUCCAGCUCAGACCGUGAGCAGAUGCCAGAUGUCAUCGAUGCCCAGGGACAGACUGGAACGCGUCUCUGCCUCUGCCCAAGCCAUCUCUAACCACAGGAGAAGGCUGUGCCUCCCCAACACUGACCCAGCUAUCAGGCUGAGAGUCCUUUGUGGAAUAUGCACUGUCGCUCCCUAUGGAGAACAAAAGGCUAUCUCGAGCUGGAAACGAUCAGCAGAGGUGAAGUGUGACUGGACUUCAAGAAGAAAGGCUGGGACUGAGGAUCGGCUGUAACUUUGUCCCUGGGCUCCCCCAGCUGGUUCUUUCACAGUAGAGUCCCCAGUUAAUUCAAGCCUGCCCCCCCCAACCCCCCCUCCCCCCCCCACCCCACCCCCCCCCCCGUAACCUGCCCUUCUGUGUGUGAAGUUGUAAUCUGGAGAGCUGCAGCACACACGGAUGGUGGAAGGCCUAAGGAACUCCACCCCUGCUGUGGAGUUGUUACCUGUGCUGGGGCAAGACAGCUGCCUUGGGGUCCCCUGCUCCUGUAAGUAACCCCUCAACCUUGCUCUGUAAAUAAGCCAAAUAAACUCAUGGGCUCCCCACA
rnacentral:lncRNA from 1 species